GCAGAGGGGCCAGGACCACCCGCAGCCCCGCGCCCGGUCAGACGUGGUGCUGGGUGUGGGGCCGCGUGGGAAGGCCCGUGUGGCCAGGACGGCUAAACCCGCUCCGGUGCCUGGAAUACAGUGACAGACAAGUCAGAUAUGGUGCCCUGCCCCAAAGGAAGAGAACUCCCACCCACCAAGAAAAAGGGACUCCACCUCCGCUUUCGUGAGACCAGUGUCCCAUGUCUGUCACUUUUGAACCCGUGCUGGAAUCACGGGAGGGUAGAGGCUCGCUGAGAAGCCUGUGCUGACAGCCUGGCCAUGUUUCCUUACUGACCACCCAGCCGCACUCACCGCACCGCGGUCCAUCUUCAGUGGCUCAGAGUCGCAGCCAGUUCUGAGGACAACCCGAAAGCUCACAUGGUGAAAGGAAAGUAUGGAUUGGUGUUGCUGGAUGAGGUUUUGUGGAUUUGCCUGGGUUGGAACUCUGU